CCAUUGGGGACGGACGGAGGGAGGUUACCGAGUUUUAACACCUAAACCCAUUGUGGAGAUAAUAAAAGGUUGUUGGGCGGGGGGCGCCCCCGGGGGUGCGCAGCCCCGGAACCGGCGGCCGCCCCGAGGGACCAACCAAACUCUUUUUUUUUUUCCCUCCCGGGACGUUUUUUUUUACUUCUUGAUCAAAAUUUCAAAUGAAAUCGAAAUUUUCAUUACGGAUCUCUGCUUCUGGUUUCGAUGAAGAACAAAACGAAAUGCAAUAAGUAAUGUGAAUUGCUAAAUUCAUGAAAUCAUCGAAAUCUUUGAAACGCACAUUGCGCCCGCCCGCCUUCUGGCGGGCAUGCCUGUCCGAGCGUCUUUUCAACCCUCUAAACCCUCCGGCCGGUCGGCGUUGGGGAUCGGGAACCACCUAAGACCGGAUCCCGGCCCCGAAAUACAGUGGCGGUCUCGCCGCACCCUCUCCUGCGCAGUACUUUGCACAACUCGCACCGGGAGCGCGGCGCGUCCACGUCCGUAAAACACCCAACUUCUGAAAUGUUGACCUCGGAUCAGGUAGGAAUACCCGCUGAACUUAAACCUAUCUAAUAAGCGGAGGAUUC
rnacentral:rRNA from 1 species